AUUGAACGCUGGCGGCAGGCCUAACACAUGCAAGUCGAACGAGUGGCGGACGGGUGAGUAAUGUCUGGGAAACUGACCGAUGGAGGGGGAUAACUACUGGAAACGGUAGCUAAUACCGCAUACAAUCGGAUGGGCCCCGAUGGGAUUAGCUAGUAGGUGGGGUAACGGCUCACCUAGGCGACGAUCCCUAGCUGGUCUGAGAUGAUGACCAGCCACACUGGAACUUAGACACGGUCCAGAUUCCUACGGGAGGCAGCAGUGGGGAAUAUUGCGCAAUGGGGGCAACCCUGACGCAGCCAUGCCGCGUUAAUGAAGAAGGCCUUCGGGUUGUAAAGUUCUUUCGGUAGCGAGGCGUUAACUACAGAAGAAGCACCGGCUAACUCCGUGCCAGCCGCCGCGGUAAUAC
rnacentral:rRNA from 1 species